CAACAAAAUUGGAAUUAGAGUCAAAGUGCUCCUUAAAUGACUCCCAAAAUACUCCCUAAGAAUCCCUAUAAGUGUUUUCUAUGUACUAUGAAGGAUUGGUGUAAGCUUUUAAUCCUACCUCUUUUAUCUAACAUAGGGACACCUGAAGGUGUAAAAAAAGAAGAAGAAAAAAGGUUUCCGGCAUUUCGAUUUGAAGGGUAGAUAUAUAUGGUUAAAACGCUUUGAGACAGUCAUUUUUCUGAUGUGUCAAGAUGCGCGCCUGCCUUUUUCUGUUGUGGAGUACUCUCUCAGCUACUUGGACAAACCAAAUAAUUGUGACCCAGACACCAGGUAUGGUGAAGAUGAUAGCCGGUGGCACGGUGACUUUGAAGUGUCAUGUUGAUCAGAUUCUCGCCUUUUGCCACUCAGUGAGUUGGAUGAAAGUAGACCCCAGGACUGGAACAAUGAGCACAAGAACUAACGUAAAGAUUAAUACGACCUCUGAGGUAGGGAAACGGGACAGAGUAUGUUCGGCAACCAUCACCAACGCAUUAGUGAGCGACUCUGGCAUGUACUACUGUUCGGCUGUUCACUCCAAGGCGGUCCACACUGGCAACGGAUCCAAUCUAAUUGUCACAGAGAGCAGCACUGAAUCCCCAAACAUCAAAAUGGUCUCAUCAUCAGACAGUGACGGCUCCUCCGCCGCUCUGCUGUGUUUGGUGUCAGGAGUGGUCCCGUCUCAAGUCCAUGUGUUCUGGCUCAUAGACGGGAGAGAGGACAGUGGACUUACUGAGUCCACCUGGACAGACAACAGUGAUUCAGCCACAGAGUUCACUAGGAACCAGAUUCUAGUCCAGGCAGAGGAGUGGGACAGAGGGGUUCAGUGUACGUGUGUGGUGGAGUUUGAGGGAAAUUCUAUCAACAAAACUGUGCAAAGAAUAGAUCUUGGCGUGCUGUGUUACGUCACAGUGUGGAUAUACAGACUCCUGGGAAUAACUGCCUGGCUUCUGCUGUUGAUCAUGGCUACCACUGUGGCAGCAUGCAGGGGCAAAAAUAGAGGUGUUCAGAGGAAUGGUACCUCAAAGAACAGGGGACGAAGGCAUAAUUCAUCAUAAAAAGGUUUUAUAGUUUGCCAUUUGUACAAAGUCAUUUUGGUAGCAUUGACAUGUGUUAAGACCAUUGGGAAAAGUUGUUUAUGUUUUGUUGUUGUUGCUAACUAUUKAAAAAUGAAAGUGUACAUUGGAAAAUAGCUAAUUAGAAUUUCAAAUUGCAGUUAUAUUCUUCCCAUAGAACAUAUUCAUAUCGAAUUAUUAUCCACUGUAAAUGCUCUCUCAUUACAAGUCCUGGGUCAGAUAUCCACUUUUUUUUCUUAUUCGAAACAUUUGAGCGAGUGAUUGAGAUGUUAUUGAAUUCCUCUCUGUGAACCACACUUUGCUCGGSUUCAUGCAGGCAGCUGUGUAGUUACAGACUUCGAAUGAAUCAAUUUCAAGAAAAUGUCCAUGUUUAAAAGAUGCAAUGCAAUAGUGUUGCUUCAUUCCUUAUUCUCAUGCUAUGUUGUUACUGGCUUAUUUGCUAAAGUAAGAAACUUUUCCAGAAAUCCUCACCAUCUAUUUUGACUACUAACUUGUAAAGGAGAGACAUGACACCCAACUCUUUCUCUUAAUAAGUGCAUAUCAGAUAAUCAAAUAAAAUCACAUUUUAUUUGUCACAUGCACCGAAUACAACAGGUGUGGACUUUACCAUGAAAUGCUUCCGUACGAGCCCUUUCCCACCAAUGCAGAGUUAAAACYUUUUUUAAAAAUGUGCUAAAUAAAAAAAGGAAAUAGUAACACAGACACGUGCAUAUUUUAUGCUAAAAUAAUUGRAAUUGCUGUGCAAUAACUGUCCUUCAAAUGAAAACGUGAAACUUUGGAAGUAAGCAGUGUGCAGCAGCGUCGCUUAUCCGAAUCAUCUUAUUUAGUCCAACAGACUAAAUGUGUAGACGUGUCCUAUGGGAGAUUAUUGAUGGUGUCUGUCGUUUUGCUUUCGUCAUUGAAAGCAAGUCAAAGUAACUUUAAACCAAGUCAUUAAGCUUCACAAACCCUUUCAGAGACCUCCUGUACCCCCUGUUCACCCACGACUGUGUGGCCAAGCACGACUCC